rnacentral:rRNA from 1 species
UACGAAGGGGGCUAGCGUUGCUCGGAAUCACUGGGCGUAAAGGGUGCGUAGGCGGCUUUUUAAGUCAGGGGUGAAAGACGGUGGCUCAACCAUCGCAGUGCCCUUGAUACUGAAGAGCUUGAAUGGACUAGAGGUAGGCGGAAUGUGACAAGUAGCGGUGAAAUGCAUAGAUAUGUCACAGAACACCGAUGGCGAAGGCAAUCCCCUGGACCUGUACUGACGCUCAUGCACGAAAGGCGUGGGGAGCAAACAGG